UUGCCUCCAAAUUGAUUUCUUUUUUUUCUUUCAAGCUACAACAGUGAGUUCACCUAAGUAUCUUGAUGUGUCCUCGUAUAUGUUUGGCUUUUUGUUGGAAUGUUGUUGGUUGUCCUCUGAAGCGACACUUCUGAUGCCAACAUACCAAGGUGAGCUUCACCUACUUCCCCACUCUGUAUAUAUGCAAGCCUGUGUGAUGUACUCUGCUUCUUCCUCCCCUUUUAAUUAAUUAAUCUCUUACUAAGCAGAGCAUGCUCUUUAGGUUAAUAGCACAAACGAUAUAGUUGAAUUAGUCUUCUUUUACUGGUGGUUUUUGGUAACGACUUACUAUGCUUCACAUAUUUGGAAAAGCCUAUGUAAUUACGUUUCUGCUGUCAGAUUGUAUACCAUGUAAAUUACAGGAGCACAAUGUACCUUUGCCUUCAAAUACGAAAUUACUUGCGAGCAACUGAAUGCCAUCUAAAAUUCAUAGCUACAAAAGAAAGGCCUUGAUAUGCAAAUAACUCUCAUUUUAAAUCGUGUAGAGUGCAGGUACCAACUUGUCCUGCUUCAAUGAUCUGUGGCUCCGAAGGGAAUUUACUACUAGGAACAUAUGCAAUGUUUGGUUAUCUAUGUCCAUCUAACUGUCAAAAACAUCUGUGGAAUGCAAAAUGGACUGUGUAAUACUUCUUGAAGAGGCAAUGCUUGUUAUCUGUAUGCAAGUUUCUAACCGCAUUAGCAGGAAAAAGUUUGGUUUCUGUUAGUGUAAUCUUCAAUAUAUCAUUUUUGCUGCUUGGAACCGGACCUUCGAUCUUCUGUUCCGCAUGAUAUUUAUUCUCCGGUGAAGUAGUAAAAUAAAUGCAUAGUCUGCCGGCCCUCGCUAAGAGCCCAGCUGAUUUAAAAUGUGCCAGUGUGCUCCUUCUAUAUCUACAUGUGAUGCACAUUUAUGCCUGACCAAUCCAUUGGAUUGAAUUUGUACUGCAGGUUUUACUAAAAAAAUCCAUUACCAUCACAAGUUGUAUGUGGCACAGGUGCUUAUUUAGGCAAUGCGUAGUCUUAAUGUGAGGAGGUGCCGAGAUACACGAGGGGUUGGAGCAGGACUGCAGGAGGAGGCGAGGAUAUGUUUUGUUUCAGAUCCACCUGAUUAAUCCCAAAUUUUGCAAGGUCUGCUUCUUAUGCAGAGCUUUCUUUUGAUGAGCAGCCUAGCCAAUUAAUUACAGUUAGUCCUUUUAGUUAGAUUUAGUAUUAGGUGAAUUAUUUGCUUUUGUGUCGAUGAACAAAUGAGUCUUAUUUAUUUUUGCUUUAGAUUAUUAUCGUUUUCGAUGUUGGUUUGAAGUUAAAAGUGAGAAAUAGAUUAGGUGACAGGGAUAUUGUGUGACAAACUUUUAUUUUGUCUUGUGUUUAAUCCUAUUUAGCUUUUGUAGAUAACUCUAUGAUAGCAUCUGUACUGACAACAGUUAGAUCGUGUAUGUCGUAGAAUGUUGAGUGCUUGAAUUAACUUGAUGACCACAAUAAUUUGUAUAGCCGGAAGAAAUAGUGAUUAUAUUCGAAUCACCUCCUUUUAGCUAAGAGUAGUAGGCAAUCUCACUUUAGCUAAGAGGGGCAGGCAAGUGUGAGUCAAAUAAAAGGAAUGCAAGAACUCAAAUUUAGCCUGAUAGACGGUUAUUUAAAUAAUUCUGUUUUACUUUAUGGGAAUUGCACAAUGUAGAUAUUCAUAGUGGAAUGGGCUUCUUUUCUUCCAUAAUGUAUUUCAUGAGCAUGGUCUCCAACUCCUCAUCUUGAAACAUUAGUUUGGAGAUUUCUAGAGAAAAUAAAAUUCUUGUAAUAAUUUCAGAUUUUACAUGAUCAGUAGAGUAGGAAGGCUUUCAAGAAUUCGUAAGAUAGUUUUGAACUCUUCUCAAACUGAAAGGAUCAUAUACUGACGCAAACAAUUUAUGUAUUGUUUUGUGCCAGUUUGGAUUACUCUGAGCAAUUCUCUCCGGAGUUGAGAGUACUCUGAGCACUGCCCAUAGCGCGCCACGACGACUGUUUGCACAUCAGGAGCCUCGCGACGCAGGUCAUCUCUCUAUCUUCUCCUCCUCCAGCUUCCCUCCCUUCAGGUCUCAUUGUAGCCUUUAUGUGCGAGAGGCUUGAUUAUGGGCAUAAGCAGAACAGUUUUCCAUUUCAUUGGUGCGUGCGCAAGAGCAAUGAACUCGGAAGGGUUUCUUUUCUAAUGUGAUUUGCUUCAUUCCUAAACAUAGCUCAUCGUCUGUGCCCUCUUUUUGGUCCAUGACAUGGAUAUUCCUAUUGAAACAAAGGUCUGGAAUUCACAGUUUGAUGGAUUGGUAGUCGUUACAGUAUUCCUCGUUUUCCUGUUUGCCUGGUCUCCCAUUGCUAUGUUGGAUGAAGUUUUACUAUGAGAAGUUACAUGCAUGAGGCAUGAUAGAUGCAUUCCUCAUAUUCUUUCUAUCUGCUAACUUUGACUUCCUUUUUUCUCAUACAUUGCUCCUUCUAUAGUCCUCAUAUGACCACAUCCUCAGAAGACAAUAACAAGUCUGCUUAUUCAUGCAUGCACACCCUCAGAAGACCACAAUCGGCCUGAGAAAUCUUCUCUGCUCAAACUAUGUAUGAUUAUCUACAUGAGGCAUCUCUGCCUAUGUUGCUUGCUUUUUGAAAGCAUUGUAAAUGGCUAUCAAAACUUCUUAUAACGCUAUGUAUCAGCAUCGUACCUAAGUAUAUAUUUCCUUGUGACUAAAUAUUCUGACGAGCUUGCUUCGAAUGCUUGUUUUGCUCUCCGCCCUUUGCGCCAUUGACGCAACGGGUCAUCUAGUAAGUAUUCAAAUUAG
rnacentral:lncRNA from 1 species